GGGUUGGUAGUCUAGUGGCUACCGCUUCUGAUUCGUAAGCAGAAGGUCUUGGGUUCAAUCCCUGGCCCGACCCA
rfam:Aedes albopictus isolate Foshan contig80859, whole genome shotgun sequence.